AGAGUUUGAUCCUGGCUCAGGAUAAACGCUGGCGGCGUGCCUAACGCAUGCAAGUCGAACGGGGAUAGCAAUAUCCUAGUGGCAAACGGGUGAGUAACACGUGGGAAUCUGCCCAAUAGUGGGGAACAACUCCUCGAAAGAGGAGCUAAUACCGCAUACGGUCUGAGAGGACUAAAGCCUUCGGGCGCUAUUGGAGGAGCCUGCGGCUGAUUAGCUAGUUGGUGGGGUAACGGCCUACCAAGGCGGUGAUCAGUAGCUGGUCUGAGAGGAUGGACAGCCACACUGGGACUGAGAUACGGCCCAGACUCCUACGGGAGGCAGCAGCGAGGAAUUUUCCGCAAUGGGGGAAACCCUGACGGAGCAACGCCGCGUGGGUGAAGAAGUCUUUCGGGAUGUAAAACCCUUUUCCCUAAGAAGAAAGAAAGACGGUAUUAGGGGAAUAAGCAUCGGCUAACUACGUGCCAGCAGCCGCGGUAAUACGUAGGAUGCAAGCGUUGUCCGGAAUUACUGGGCGUAAAGGGCGAGCAGGUGGCACUACAAGUCUGAUGUAAAAUCUCCCGGCUUAACUGGGAGGGGCCAUUGGAAACUGUAGAGCUGGAGUGCAGGAGAGGCUAACGGAAUUCCCGGUGUAGUGGUGAAAUGCGUAGAUAUCGGGAGGAACACCAGUGGCGAAGGCGGUUAGCUGGCCUGUAACUGACACUGAGGCGCGAAGGCUAGGGGAGCGACAGGAUUAGAUACCCUAGUAGUCC
rnacentral:rRNA from 1 species